AAGUGAAGCUUUCUUCUUUAUCUGUUUUCCUUGUUCCCUCUCUCUGUUUCUUCUUCUUCUUCUUCUUUUUCUACCUUCUCUUCUCUUUCUUCUUUUCCUUAUAAAUCUCCAUUUUAAUAACCUCCAUUUUCAGGUGUUUUGGUUUUGUGAUGCUACAAUUUCUUAUAUUUUUUGCUUGAAAAUUAUGAGGUGGGAUUAGUGAGAUUGUUUUUCUAAAGUUUGUGAUUUGGAUACUGUAAUAGGGAAGUAAAGACUUGAAUUUUUGUGGGAUUUUCAGGUCGCAGAAAAAGACCUCCUGUGGAAAACCUGAAGAAGUUGUCAAGUGUUGUACCUCCACCUGCACCACUCAAUCCAUCUCAUUUCAUUUCUCCACUUUUCUCUGACUUUUCCUUGUCAGAAUCGCACUUCUUCUUUAUCAGCUCUAUGAGGUAAGAGACUGGGGAGCAAAUGAGCACCAGUAUGGAUGAUCAUUGUCCUUUGCCGGAAGAUCUAAUAUUAUUUAAUAUUCUACUGAGGUUGCCUGUGGAGUCACUCUUGCGUUUCAAAUGUGUGUGCAAGCAUUGGUAUGCUCUCAUCAAAAGUCCGAGUUUCAUAGAAAAGCAUUUUCAUCACAAGAACAAUCAUGCCAGUCUCCUCAUUUGUAACUUGGAAGUAGCACCAAAAGGACACUCCAUUGUAAAGUCUGUUGUAUUCUCCUUGCUCCCUAAAAAAAUAAUUCCAGGUGUGACCCCUGAACAAAAAAUUCUGCUUCAGCUUCCGAGGGUCUCUGAUUUCACGUGUGUUGCUGGCCCAGUUGGUGGCUUAUUCUUAAUGCAGAAAAAAUUCUAUGGAGACGAUGUCCGCCUGGGUUUGUGGAACCCUGCAUCUGGGAGGAUGAUAAGAUGAUUUUCGAAAUCACAAAAACUUCACAGCUUGUGCUAUAUGAACCUACAACAAAACAAGUUACAGAUCUUGGAUUUCAGCUGGACCUUAGCAUUACUGGUUGUUGGGUUUUCAAUUACAAGGAGAGUCUAAGUCCAAUAAAGAGAGGAAAUGACAGCCAGGGCAAGGAUAAUGCAGUCGAGAAAAUUGAACACUUCUUCGAUGUCAUACCAAUGGAUCUCAACCCUCUGUUGACUGUUAGAAAAUCCCAAAGGUUAAUAACUACGUCUUCACUUACCUUACUGUAUUUCCUUAUUUUGAUCUUAAUCAAUCGAGUCUUACCGUAACGUACCGUCCUUUUAUUACAUAGUUUUAUUCGA